rnacentral:rRNA from 1 species
CUUUAUUGAAACUUCGGUCGAUUUAAUUUAAUUCCAGUGGCGGACGGGUGAGUAACGCGUGGGUAACCUGCCUUAUACAGGGGGAUAACAGUCAGAAAUGGCUGCUAAUACCGCAUAAGCGCACAGAGCUGCAUGGCUCGGUGUGAAAAACUCCGGUGGUAUAAGAUGGACCCGCGUUGGAUUAGCUUGUUGGUGGGGUAACGGCCCACCAAGGCGACGAUCCAUAGCCGGCCUGAGAGGGUGAACGGCCACAUUGGGACUGAGACACGGCCCAGACUCCUACGGGAGGCAGCAGUGGGGAAUAUUGCACAAUGGGGGAAACCCUGAUGCAGCGACGCCGCGUGAAGGAAGAAGUAUCUCGGUAUGUAAACUUCUAUCAGCAGGGAAGAUAGUGACGGUACCUGACUAAGAAGCCCCGGCUAACUACGUGCCAGCAGCCGCGGUAAUACGUAGGGGGCAAGCGUUAUCCGGAUUUACUGGGUGUAAAGGGAGCGUAGACGGUGUGGCAAGUCUGAUGUGAAAGGCAUGGGCUCAACCUGUGGACUGCAUUGGAAACUGUCAUACUUGAGUGCCGGAGGGGUAAGCGGAAUUCCUAGUGUAGCGGUGAAAUGCGUAGAUAUUAGGAGGAACACCAGUGGCGAAGGCGGCUUACUGGACGGUAACUGACGUUGAGGCUCGAAAGCGUGGGGAGCA